UCUAGAACUCAAGAUAUGGGCUGAACACUUAAUAGUAUCUAGGCUGCAGGACAAAUUCUGACUUCUCUUUUGUUGCUACAAUUUGAACUUGAAAACGGUCGUUUGAAUCUUGAACUCUAGUUAUGAUCCAAUAACCGAAUGAUGUUCCAGU
rfam:Populus trichocarpa scaffold_17_contig_227, whole genome shotgun sequence.